UUCCGGUUGAUCCUGCCGGACCCCACUGCUAUCGGGAUAGGACUAAGACAUGCUAGUCGAGCGCCUUCCAGCCAUGAAGAAGGCGCGGCACACAGCUCAGUAACACGUAGCUAACCUGCCCUCGGGACGAGAACACCCCCGGGAAACUGGGGCUAAUUCUCGAUAGGCGAAGAACUCUGGAAUGAGUCUUUACCCAAAAGACGUUUAGAUCAUGCUUCUAGGUGUCGCCCAAGGAUGGGGCUGCGACCGAUCAGGUAGUUGGUGAGGCAAUGGCUCACCAAGCCUUUAACCGGUGCGGGCCGUGGGAGCGGGAGCCCGGAGAUGGGCACUGAGACAAGGGCCCAGGCCCUACGGGGCGCAGCAGUCGCGAAAACUUUGCAAUAAGCGAAAGCUUGACAGGGCUAUCCCGAGUGCCAUCCGCUGAGGAAGGCUUUUACCCAGUCUAGUAAGCUGGGGGAAUAAGGAGAGGGCAAGUCUGGUGUCAGCCGCCGCGGUAAUACCAGCUCUCCGAGUGGUGUGGAUGUUUAUUGGGCCUAAAGCAUCCGUAGCUGGCUGAGUUAGUCCCCUGUUAAAUCCACCGAAUCAAACGUUGGAUUGCGGGGGAUACUGCUCGGCUAGGGGACGGGAGAGGCAGACGGUAUUUCCGGGGUAAGGGUGAAAUCUUAUAAUCCCGGGAAGACCACCAGUGGCGAAGGCUGUCUGCUAGAACGCGCCCGACGGUGAGGGAUGAAAGCUGGGGUAGCGAACCGGAUUAGAUACCCGGGUAGUCCCAGCCGUAAACGAUGCAGCUAGGUGUUUGGGCGGCCACGUGCCGCUCUAGUGCCGCAGGGAAGCUGUUAAGCCUGCCGCCUGGGGAGUACGAUCGCAGAUUGAAACUUAAAGGAAUUGGCGGGGGAGCACCACAAGGGGUGAAGCUUGCGGUUUAAUUGGAUUCAACGCCGGG
rnacentral:rRNA from 1 species